GUAAAGUUCUGUCUGUCGUCUGCCUACCCUCAGAAUCCGGGAGUGGGCAGCGUGGGAACGCUCAGGAUAGUCUGUCCGUCCGCUCGGCCUCCCUCACUCCGCACUUCAAAGCAACAGGAGGAGGCAGGAGGAGCCAGGGCAAAGGCAGAUAAGAACAAGCCCGGACUGGAGCUGAUGUGACUGAUACGUGUGGAUCUCAAAGAAGUGCUGAAGGAGACCAACAUCUGACCUCACGCCAUUUUGUCUGCUUAGAGUAUGCGUUUCACUCAAGAUAACUCCCAUCUGGACUUCAACCUAGUUGACAAGGAAAAUCUUUAAGCACAAAUAUGACUGACAGGUAAUACAGAGCUUGUAGAAGAACAUUUGUAUUUUUCUUCAUUAGGAAUGACUCUUUUCCAACUCUCCCAUACUACUAGCUGCUGAGAUGCUAAUCACCAUCCAACAGUUUGAUCCUAAGCAUUAGAGAACCAGUGUGUUUCUAAAGACUCCACAAGGACAUCUCCUGGUCUCAAAAGGACCUCAAUGAAGAUUAGAGCUAACCAUUGUGAGGGGCCCAAAUCUGUCCUUGCUCUAGGAGGACCAUAGGGAGGUAUCCAAUCAGAAUCUCACAGGUGAGACACUCCCUUAUUGCACUUAGAAAUGAAUAAGGCAAACAAACCAACAAAACAAGGAUUAAUGACUCCAUCCUACUUCUUCUCCUCUAAUAGAUACCCAGGCUAGCACGGGCUGACUAAACAAGGACUAGGAAAUGUCAGGUGGCACAUCAAGGUCUCAUUCUCCCUCCAGGAAGGCAUACUCAGUUUCUGCCAAUCUAGAAGAACUAAGAAGUGCUGCUCAGUAGCUUCUGCUCCCUCAGAGCCUGGGCUUCUCCAGACUACUGUGGUAAGAAUUCUAGGCUACAGUCACUGCUUGCUUUUGAUUGUCCAGUACAGAACUCAGCAUGGGGGCAGUAUGGGCCAAGUUCUUGAUCUGCAAACUCCUUUCCAGUGAUUGGAAACAGGAAGGGAUGUGUUUUGCUAGGGGAAAAAAGCUUUUUGCAUGCUUGUUUUGUGCAGCAUGAAAAGACCAGGACUCUUGCA
rnacentral:lncRNA from 1 species